UUAUGUGAUCGUCUCUCGCAUAUCAAUAAGCGGAGGAAAAGAAACUAACAAGGAUUCCCCUAGUAACGGCGAGUGAAGCGGGAAGAGCUCAAAUUUGAAAUCUUAAAGGGUUUCCCUUUACGAAUUGUAGUUUAAAGAAGUGUUUUCUGUUGAGGUUUUGGUAAAAGUUCUUUGGAAUAGGACAUCAUAGAGGGUGAGAAUCCCGUAUUUGACCUUUACUUUCAACUUUGUGAUACACUUUCAAAGAGUCGGAUUGUUUGGGAAUGCAGUCCAAAAUGGGUGGUAAAUUUCAUCCAAAGCUAAAUAUUGGCGAGAGACCGAUAGCGAACAAGUACCGUGAGGGAAAGAUGAAAAGAACUUUGAAAAGAGAGUUAAACAGUACGUGAAAUUGUCAAAAGGGAAGCGUUUGACACCAGUGUUGUUUUUCUGAAAAUCAAUUAAAGAACUGUUUAUGCUAAGUUGUUUAGACUUUAUCAGCUAACUGUUUAGUUUUGAGCUUUUCUUUAAUGCACUUUUCAGUUAACAAGUCAACAUCAAUUUCUUUUGCUGUAAAAAAGCUUGAGGAAGGUGGCUUGAGAUUCGUCUUAAGUGUUUAUAGCCUCUUGCCUAUGCAGUCGGAGAGAUUGAGGUCUGCAGCGUAGAUCCUUCGGGGCUAAAUGCAUUUGUGCUAAGUUAUAACAUUUUAUAGACAACUUGUUGACUAUGAUUUGUCUUGUAGCUUACUCGCUUAUGUUAUUUUACCUACGCUUAGGAUGUUGAAGUCAUCGUAUCGCGC
rnacentral:rRNA from 1 species